rnacentral:rRNA from 1 species
AAUAGAUACCCCGGUAGUCCACGCCGUAAACGAUGAGUGCUAGGUGUUGGGGGGACCCCCUCAGUGCCGCAGGUAACCCAAUAAGCACUCCGCCUGGGGGGUACGGUCGCAAGACUGAAACUCAAAGGAAUUGACGGGGGCCCGCACAAGCAGUGGAGCAUGUGGUUUAAUUCGAAGCAACGCGAAGAACCUUACCAGGGCUUGACAUCCCGCUGACCGGUGUAGAGAUAUGCCUUUCCCCUUCGGGGGACAGCGGUGACAGGUGGUGCAUGGUUGUCGUCAGCUCGUGUCGUGAGAUGUUGGGUUCAGUCCCGCAACGAGCGCAACCCUUGUUUCUAGUUGCCAGCACUUCGGGUGGGCACUCUAGAGAGACAGCCGGUGAAAGCCGGAGGAAGGUGGGGAUGACGUCAAAUCAUCAUGCCCCUUAUGUCCUGGGCUACACACGUGCUACAAUGGCUGGUACAAAGGGCAGCGAACCCGCGAGGGGGAGCCAAUCCCAAAAAACCAGUCUCAGUUCGGAUUGCAGGCUGCAACUCG